GACCCUGAAUGCCAUGGCAGCUACAACAGGCAAGCUUGAGCUGGUUGCACCAGAUUUCGUUGGACAAAUUAUCCAGAUUGGUUGCAGAUUGUGUGUGUUGACAGCAUCAGACAGGGAGAGAGAGAGAGAGAGUGUCGCAUGCCUUCCUGUUCCUGUACCACCCUCCAACCCCAGAGCCGCAGACUCAAGGCAGUUUCCAGAAUCAAACAAUUUCACGCAGCUACUGGAGGAGGAAAUGAACUGAGCCCAGAGCAAUAAUAAAAUUAUACAAAUGUUA